rnacentral:misc_RNA from 1 species
GUUCGGAUCCUGGCUCAGAUUGAACGCUGGCGGGAUGCUUUACACAUGCAAGUCGAACGGCAGCACGGACUUCCGGUCUGGUGGCGAGUGGCGAACGGGUGAGUAAUGUAUCGAACGCCUAGUAGCGGGGAGUAACUACGCGAAAGCGUAGCUAAUACCGCAUACGCCCUUCCCUGGGAAAGCGGGGACCUCGGGCCUCGCACUAUUAGAGCGGCCGAUAUCGGAUUAGCUAGUUGGUGGGGUAACGGCUCACCAAGGCGACGAUCCGUAGCUGGUUUGAGAGGACGACCAGCCACACUGGGACUGGGACACGGCCCAGACUCCUACGGAGGCAGCAGUGGGGAAUUUUGGACAAUGGGGAAACCCUGAUCCAGCCAUCCGCGUGUGCGAUGAAGGCCUUCUUGCCAAAGCACUUUUGGCAGGGGGAAAGAAACGGCACGGGAUAAUACCCCGUGCAACUGACGGUACUCGCAGAAUAAGCACCGGCUAACUACGUGCCAGCAGCCGCGGUAAUACGUAGGGUGCAAGCGUUAAUCGAAUUACUGGGCGUAAAAGCGUGCGCAGGCGGUUCGGAAAGAAAGAUGUGAAAUCCCAGAGCUUAACUUUGGAACUGCAUUUAACUACCGAGCUAGAGUGUGUCAGAGGGAGGUGGAAUUCCGCGUGUAGCAGUGAAAUGCGUAGAUAUGCGGAGGAACACCGAUGGCGAAGGCAGCCUCCCUGAUAACACUGACGCUCAUGCACGAA